AUGCUCGUGUACGAGCUCGUGCCGGGAGGCAACCUGGACAAGCGUCUCCAUAGCCCUGACCCUGAACAGCUCCUCACUUGGGAAGAAAGGUUCGAGAUUGCCCUGGGCCUUGGCUCCGCGUUGUGCUAUCUCCACACGGAGGUGGAGCAGUACUGCGUCGUGCACGGCGACAUCAAGUCUAGCAACGUCUUGAUCGACUCGUCCGGCCAGGCCAAGCUCGAAGACUUCGGGCUGGCGAGGCUCCUCCAUCACGGAGCCGAUCCGCGCACCACGGAGGUCGUCGCGGGGACCAUCGGGUACAUUGACCCGGAGUUCGUCAACAGCCGCAGGCCAUGCGCCGAGUCCGACGUCUACAGCUUCGGCGUCCUGCUCCUGGAGAUCGCGAGCGGCAGGCGGCCGACCCCGCCUGCGGGGCGGCCGGGUGGAGCUUCGGCCCGGAGUUCCGACGCUCGUCGGACGUGUCCGCGAUAUGUAUGGCCGGAACGCCGUCUCGACGCGGCAGACGUGAGGCUCGGCGGAGACUUCGAGGAGAUGGAGAUGGAGCGUGUGCUCGUCACCGGCCUCUGGUGCGCGCACCCCGACAGUAGCCAGCGGCCGUCGAUGGUGCAGGUCAUGAGUUUCCUCCGGCCCGAAGAUGCAGAGCUGCGUGUGCCUCCGGCGCACCGUGUCUUGGAGUUGGAGACGAGCCACGGGUCGACGCGUUCCUCUCUCGCCAGUACUACGUACCACACUCCACCAGAUUCGGGUUACCUAAUGACAGACCAAUGA
rnacentral:rRNA from 1 species